rnacentral:rRNA from 1 species
AGGACGAACGCUGGCGGCGUGCUUAACGCAUGCAAGUCGAGCGGAAAGGCCCUUCGGGGUACUCGAGCGGCGAACGGGUGAGUAACACGUGAGUAAUCUGCCCCUAGCUCUGGGAUAGCUCCGGGAAACCGGGAUUAAUACCAGAUACGACCACUUUAGACAUCUUCUGUGGUGGAAAGAACUUCGGCUAGGGAUGAACUCGCGGCCUAUCAGCUUGUUGGUGAGGUAACGGCUCACCAAGGCGACGACGGGUAGCCGGCCUGAGAGGGCGACCGACCACACUGGGACUGAGACACGGCCCAGACUCCUACGGGAGGCAGCAGUGGGGAAUAUUGCGCAAUGGGCGAAAGCCUGACGCAGCGACGCCGCGUGGGGGAUGGAAGGCCUUCGGUUGUAACCCCUUUCAGCAGGACGAAGCGAAAGUGACGGUACCUGCAGAAGAGCGCCGGCUAACUACGCGCCAGCAGCCGC